rnacentral:rRNA from 1 species
UACGUAGGGGGCAAGCGUUGUCCGGAAUCAUUGGGCGUAAAGAGCGUGUAGGCGGCUCGAUAAGUCUGCUGUGAAAGUCCAGGGCUCAACCCUGGAAGGCCGGUGGAAACUGUCGGGCUAGAGUCCGGAAGAGGCGAGUGGAAUUCCCGGUGUAGCGGUGAAAUGCGCAGAUAUCGGGAGGAGCACCAAUGGCGAAGGCAGCUCGCUGGGACGGUACUGACGCUGAGACGCGAAAGCGUGGGGAGCAAACAGG